UCUUUGUUGCCACGGUCAACCAAUAGCCGAAGCCUAUGAUUUUUUGUUUUCAAUUCAAAACGUUGUAAUGAUUGUGGAGCGUACGCAGGCAAAAAGGCCCAGAUGCCCAACAUGUAAUGUCUUUAAGUUUUAUACCUUGUUUCUUACAAAGAUCAAUGGUAAUUAUCUAAACAUGACUUAAUGUGUUGUUAGAUAUUAAAAUGCAUUUAAAUUUAUAGAUAACCAAUUAAUACUUCAAUAUUUGUCAAUACAUAUUAAGCGCAAAUAUUAUUACGGCGGGAUCACUUGAAACGGCCCUGUAAAGCUCGAUGUGUCGAAAAAUUGAUGGCCGCCUGUGCGACGCUACAUUGCGUUGUUGGUAGAACAUCGGCAUGCCGUAAAUAUGUAUGAAUAUAUAUGAGCAUGCAAACAUAUCGACAUAAAUUUUUGCCAGUCACAGAAUUUUUGCUGAAAAAUAUUUUAAAUCGACUCAAGGGCUAUGUUGCCACUUUUCUCCCUAGGUUUUUGCGGCGUUGCAACUUUUCCUUCUCGAAGGAACAUUACAAAAAUCUUCAAUUUAUGAUUUUUGUCAUCGUCGCGAAAAGGCGUUUGUUGGCAAGGCAUGCGCGGGGAGAUGUGUAUGGCGCUGCUUUUAUGAAUGAAGCAACUUUGCCAAGUGAAUGUGCGCCUGCGUUCAUGAAUGAAAAUGUUUUUGUUGUGUUUACUACAAUAUUUGGCUACGUCGAUUGGCUGCCAUAUUGACUUGUGAUGCUGCUUAUGCGUUUGAGGCGCUUGUUGUUUUUGUAGAACAAUGCUUUUGAUUUUUUGUGGUGGUUGACAAACUUACGUGCACGCAUAUGCAAAUGUAAGUUUGUGUGUUUGUUCAGUGACAUGCAAACAUAUGUAUGUAUGUAUGUAGAUAUAUGUAUACAGAGCAGUGCGUGCACAUGUGACAUGACCACUGACCACACUGAUAAGUGAUAAUGAUACUAUUCGAAUUUUUGAGGACAUACAUAUGUAUCUACAUAUGUACACACGUAAAUGCUUAUGUAUAUAGAUAUAUGUACAUAUGCAUAUGCAAGUUUAAGUUAUGAAAUAUGUUGUUUAUUUUAGUAUUAUACGAAAUGUAUUAUUAUAAACAUAUUUUUCAUGAAAGUAUGUAUUUACAACCAUAGGUAUAUAUAUAUGUAUGUACAUAGUUUUAUUCCGACCAUUUCUAUACUCCACAUAAGCUGUUUUAUUUUCAAUUAAAAUUCGAAAGUUUUGUCAGAAAUUUACAAGAUUUUUACGUUGUUUUGACUACAUGAAUGCCAAGGAAAUAUUGUAGUCAUUUGAAAUUUCAGCUUGCAAAUUCAUUUCGCAGAGAAAGUUUGUUCAUUAAAAAUAUGGAUUUUAAACAUCUGAGUGAUUAUCGUCUUUUAUAUAAUGUAAGUGAAGUAAGUAAGGUAAAUAUCAACAGGCUGUGACACGAAACCACCAGUCGUUGUGGAAAUUGCUCCAAAGACUGAUGAGUUUGAUUUCGCUGUGGGAUUGUCGGACAUAGAGAUACCUCAAACAGAUGAUGAGAAUGGUACAGACAUCUCUGCAGGAUCGUCGGACGAGUAUGUCCCCGAUUCGGAUGAUAAAGACAGCAGAUGUAGUUUUAGAAGAAAUCGCAGACUAUGGUGAUACUUAUAUCAAUAACAAGAAUGAAAAUGGUAGAAAUAUACUUACGCGGAAGAGAAAGAUUGAAAGUCAUAAAUAGGUGCAGAAUAAAAGGAAGUAUCAUCGCAACAAAGGGAACCCGUAUAUCACUAAGAGUGGCAAAAGAGUUGAAGAACGUGUUCCGAAACCCAUUGACUGUAAGUGCCGCCAUAAUUGCACAGAAAACUUCUCAGAAGAAGAGCGCACAGAGGUCAAUGCAGAAUAUUGGAAUUUAGGCGACUAUUCGAGGCAGCGACUGUUCCUGUCCAAUUGCGUGAAAAUUGAGAAGUGCAAAAGGACGUUGACAAUUGGAUCACGGCAGGCGAACACAUUUAAUUAUACUCUCAAAGCCAAACAGGUAUGCAAGAAGUUUUUUUUAAACACUUUGAACUUGUCAGACGGCGCAAUAUCUGUGUUAGCGAAGAAGAUGUGCCAAAAUGAAUUUACUGAUAAGAGGGGUCAACAUGGCCACCAGAGAAAAUUAGACGAAGAGCCAGUUGCGCUUAUCAAACAGCACAUCAAGUCAUUUCCAGCCGUCGAAAGCCAUUACACUCGAGCAAAAAAGUCAACGACUUUAUUUUGCCUCCGACUUAACAAUAUCAAAAAUGUACGAUUUAUUCAAAGAACUCCACCCGGACGCUAUCAUUAAAGAAAACUUUUAUCGCCGGAUAUUUUGCAUGAAUUAUAAUUAUUCUUUCCACCGUCCAAAAAAGGACACCUGCUUAACAUGGGAGAGGUACAAAAACGCUGAGGACAAAGACUCAUUUCAGAAAUCCUAUGAUGAACACAUCUUAACAACCAAACUGACAAGGAAUCAGCUAAAAGUAACAGUAGUUUAAAAGUGUUUACUUUUGACCUCCAGUCAGUGUUAACGACUCCUUGUAGCAACGUAAGCACGAUGUAUUACAGUCGAAAGUUCGCCACGUAUAAUAACGCAUUUUACGACAUUGCCAGUCGAGGUUACUGUUUUCUAUGGGAUGAAAAUCAGGGUCAACGAGGAUAGGACGAAAUUGGGACCACAAUAUGGAAAAUGAUGAACUCGUUAGACGAAUCGGUAACCGAUGUUAUUCUCUACUCAGACUGCUGCGGGGGACCAAACAGAAACAGGUUCAUUGCUACACUAUUGAUUUAUAUCAACAAUACCUCGAAGCUUAAUUCGAUAACAAUUAAGUACCUCCAAAUCGGACACACACAAAUGGAGGCAGAUUCGAUGCACUCUGCAAUAGAACAUGCGAAGAGAAGUAUAUGCGUUUAUUCGCCGGAAGAAUGGCCAACUAUAAUGAGACUGGCAAGACGGAAAAACCCAUAUGAUGUAGAGAGGCUUCAAUAGAGUGAUAUGAUUGAUCUCAAAGCCAUGUUGUCGAGUUUAGGCCAUAGCCUUAAGAAAAAUAUAAAAAAUGGCUCGGUAAAUUGGCUUAAUGUUAAAUUACUCCAAGUGAACAAAAUUCAACGACAACAAUUAUUAUACAAGGGGGAAUGGGAUGGAGACUUGAAAGUAAUUGAUAUUGGAGGAACGUGAAAAACAAAAGAGAUGUUCAACUUUUCUUUUACUGGCAAAUACCCCAAAGUGUAUUCAACAAAGUGAACUAUGUAUAUGACAUUUCAUUUUUUUUACCCAAAUUUGACAUGUUUGUUGCCAUUGAUUUAACCUUUACAUUUAUUCCAAAAUUAAAAUUUUGAAAUUCAAAAGUAAAAAAAUUUUAAACCAAAAAAAAUAUUUUUUAAAUGAAUAAAAGAAAAUGCCGAAUACUUUAUGCUUAUGCAAAACAACUCAUGGAAGCAAUUUACUAAUGUUAUGUGCUCCAACUGACAAAUUGCAAACAAUUUUAUCAAUAUAUAUUAUAUUGUUCAAGAUAAAAAAGACGGGUUAAUUUAAACAAAUACAUGAAUUGUUUACUAUUUUAUUGUCAAAAACGGGUAUGUCAAAUACUUAGUUCACUUUGUUGAAUACACUUUGAAUAACCCAAAUUGGAAAGUAAUGAAUAAUGCCACUGAAUUAACAAAACUAUGAAAUAAUUACUUUUAUAAUGUUACAAAUUGAUAUUUUUGAGAUCAAAUAUUUUAAUAAAAAUACCGUAAAAUUAUUGACAAAAUAAAAUAGUGUAUCAGAUACAUCAUACGAAUUCCUUAAAAAAUAAAAUGGCCUAUAUGGAGGACCUGCGCUUUGAAUAACAUAAUUAUGGUCUUAAAGGAUGCGUAGAAUAAAAAAAACUUGGUAAAUUUAAAGACAAGAAACGGUAUAAUGUACUCAUCGACGCGAA